CGCCGGCGAUGGAAGCGCCGCUGGUUGCGAUUGACGGCGCGGGUGGUUUUGGUGGGGAUUGGAGGCGGAGGGUGGGGACGGAGGCGGAGGCGAUUGGCGAGAAGAGCAACGCCAACGCACCAAAUCCGAUUGCGCUAUUAUUGGGCGGAGCGGAGCGCAGGCUUUGCAGUUGCUCACGCCUUGGCACGGCGGCAGCUUCGCUUUCGCUGUCGCUCGCAUCGCAAGCGUGCAGGGCGCGGGCGGAGGAGGAAACCACUCGAUUUGCCUCGCCAAGAAUGGUGCGGCUGCGAAAAAGGUAAUGGAGGAAGGUAUAUGCAACAGGACUACAGGAGACAAAACAAAAACGUAAUCUGGCGGCCGAUUUCAUUAAUUUAAUCUUUUUUUUUUUGCGAUGGAUUUCAUUAAUUCAAUCGUGCUGGUGAUCUGGCGAGGUUCCAGUUGGAUUUGCGCUUGCGGUGUCUAAUACGCGGACGACGCGACACGUUCCUAGUUGUGAUCGACGUGACAUUGGAACGUGAGGUCUGGCAGGCUUCGCUGUAGUGUUUUUUUAAAUGACUGCCAAGUGUAGUGUAGUGUCUGCUCUUGGUUCUCGGGUGUGGAUGGGAUUCACAGCCAACGGUCUAAAAGUUAAAGCUUUUUCUUUUCUCGUGGUAAACAAAGAAGAGAUGCUCCACUUCAUAUUUUCAUGGUUGCGGCGGUCGUUUGGCAGCCUUGACUUUGCCAAGUGUUUUUGGCUACUUGGUCUUGUUUAGUUGACGAAGAGAAAAAUUUUGCGAUACUAUAGUACUUUUAUUUAUUUAUGGUAAUUAUUGUCCAACCAUAGACUAACUAGGCUCAAAAGAUUCGUCUCGUACAUUUCGACCAAACUGUGCAAUUAGUUUUUAUUUCCGUCUAUAUUUAAUACUCAAACCAUGGACUAACUAGGAAUCUUGAAAAAUUUUGGGUUUUGAAGUGAAAGUAAACAAGGCCCAUUAGAUUAACCAUGAUUUUUGCAAGCACAUACGAUUAUAUUGCAUGAAGAACCCUGUAUUUAUCCCCAUGAUGAAGUAUAUUAUCCUUGUUCACUUCAUACCCCUGAGCUUUGAUUUUUAUUUUCUUGAAGCCAGAUCAUUGUUUGCCUUUACUCCAUUCAUCUUAAAAAAACAUUUUUUUGUCAAAUAAUUCAUCCCAAAAAACUGUGCAUCUCGCUUUUUAAAGAUUCUUUUUCUCUAAAUAUCACUAAUUUUAUAGAAAAAAAUAUCAACAUUAUAUCUCAAAAUGAGUUUAUUAUGAAAAUGUAUGCCACUACUAAUCUAUCGAUUAUUAUUAUAUAUCAAUCAAACUUUUUUUUACUCCUUAUCUCUAAGCUAGAUGAGAGAAAAAAUAAUAAGCGUACCAAACAAUCUAGCAACUAACUGAACACGAUCCUUAAGAACCCCAAAUUUAUUUGCUAGGUCAGCCUAAGUAGAGAGGAAUAAAAAGAUUGUAGAUAAAUUGAGAAUGACAGAUGGGUGCAGCAUAAUAAACUAUUCACAUUGUGCUUGGUUUGUAGCCAAAGAAGAGAAGAUGUUCAAUGUAGGUAGCUGUGCUUGUCAUGUCUUUUUAUGUUGGUCUUGUACGUGUUAUUUAUUUCUGUACUCGCGAUCCCUUGACUCAACCUUCAAUUAUUUGUUGUAGGGAAAGAGAGAUGACACAAAGCGAUAGCGACAAAAGGCCAUGACGGAGAUUUACAUACCAUAAUGUAAUAUGCAUCAAAUGAACCAUGGUUUGUCCUGAUCGGAAAAAUCAUCAAUUAAUCCUUAACUUAGCAUACAAUACAUAUCGUAAUUGGUGAGUUACCAAACG
rnacentral:lncRNA from 1 species